GACGAACGCUGGCGGCGUGCCUAAUACAUGCAAGUAGAACGCUGAAGAGAGGAGCUUGCUCUUCUUGGAUGAGUUGCGAACGGGUGAGUAACGCGUAGGUAACCUGCCUGGUAGCGGGGGAUAACUAUUGGAAACGAUAGCUAAUACCGCAUGAAAUUGCUUAUCGCAUGAUAAUUAAUUGAAAGAUGCAAUUGCAUCACUACCAGAUGGACCUGCGUUGUAUUAGCUAGUUGGUGAGGUAACGGCUCACCAAGGCGACGAUACAUAGCCGACCUGAGAGGGUGAUCGGCCACACUGGGACUGAGACACGGCCCAGACUCCUACGGGAGGCAGCAGUAGGGAAUCUUCGGCAAUGGGGGGAACCCUGACCGAGCAACGCCGCGUGAGUGAAGAAGGUUUUCGGAUCGUAAAGCUCUGUUGUAAGAGAAGAACGGGUGUGAGAGUGGAAAGUUCACACUGUGACGGUAUCUUACCAGAAAGGGACGGCUAACUAUGUGCCAGCAGCCGCGGUAAUACGUAGGUCCCGAGCGUUGUCCGGAUUUAUUGGGCGUAAAGCGAGCGCAGGCGGUUAGAUAAGUCUGAAGUUAAAGGCUGUGGCUUAACCAUAGUACGCUUUGGAAACUGUUUAACUUGAGUGCAGAAGGGGAGAGUGGAAUUCCAUGUGUAGCGGUGAAAUGCGUAGAUAUAUGGAGGAACACCGGUGGCGAAAGCGGCUCUCUGGUCUGUAACUGACGCUGAGGCUCGAAAGCGUGGGGAGCAAACAGGAUUAGAUACCCUGGUAGUCCAAGGGCGAAUUCCACAGUGGAUAUCAAGCUUAUCGAUACCGUCGACCUCGAGGGGGGGCCCGGUANCCAGCUUUNGNNCCNANNNNNNGGGGNNUA
rnacentral:rRNA from 1 species